GAUGCCUAUCUUCACCCAAGUUAAGCGUUUUGAUCGUUAGCGCUAGUUUUUUGGUGUUUGAUUUAUUUUUGUCUUGCUUUUGUUGUACUUUGGAUUUUUGCUUGGGUUUUCAUUAAAAACUCCAGCAUUGGGUUUCAAACCUUCACAGUCGGUUUCUCUGUUCUUCAAUCCUGACACUAAUAAACAGAUCGUGCUGUGUUUGGUCUCAUGGUGUGAGUUUACUAAAGAAAUAAGGCGAGAAAGAAGGAAGAAGACUGGUACGGAUAUCAAAGGUACAUUAAAACAUGUGUCACAGGGGCAUUUAUGCUAAGGGAAAGAAGAGGGGGGGCCCUUGGCGGUAUCUGGCCCCGGGACCCUUUGAAGUCAUAAUCCGUCCCUGUCUCUGAGUGAAGAGAUCUCUUCACCUUCAGACAGCUGCAGGAAACAUCCAAGAGGAAAGAAGUUCGUCGUAGUCGACCCGUGAACAAAG